ACUACUAAAGAAUUAUAUCGACUUCAUCUUCAGCGGGAAAUCGCUAAGGCUGAUUUGCAAAUGGAGUACACAAAGCUGCUGAUAGAGCAACUAAAGAAUAAAAAUGAUUGAUAAAAACA